rnacentral:rRNA from 1 species
CCUACGGGUGGCUGCAGUGGGGAAUAUUGGACAAUGGGCGAAAGCCUGAUCCAGCCAUGCCGCGUGUGUGAAGAAGGCCUUCGGGUUGUAAAGUACUUUCAGUGGGGAAGAAAGCCUUGGGGCUAAUACCCUCGAGGAAGGACAUCACCCACAGAAGAAGCACCGGCUAACUCCGUGCCAGCAGCCGCGGUAAUACGGAGGGUGCGAGCGUUAAUCGGAAUUACUGGGCGUAAAGCGCGCGCAGGCGGUCUGAUAAGCCGGUUGUGAAAUCCCCGGGCUCAACCUGGGAACGGCAUCCGGAACUGUCAGGCUAGAGUGCUGGAGAGGAAGGUAGAAUUCCCGGUGUAGCGGUGAAAUGCGUAGAGAUCGGGAGGAAUACCGGUGGCGAAGGCGGCCUUCUGGACUGACACUGACGCUGAGGUGCGAAAGCGUGGGUAGCAAACAGGAUUAGAUACCCGAGUAGUC